rnacentral:telomerase_RNA from 1 species
UUGAGUAGACGUUGUUCUUAACUGCUGCGUUAUUUGCGUUGUGGGGUACGAUGCAAAUUAAUGACAAAACUAACAAAACUUUAAAUUAAAAGGUGAUUCUUUUCCAUGGGUUCAUCUAUAACAAAAAUGUAAUGGAAAGCUCGCAGCUUUUUUUU